AUGUUGUAUGAAAGAAGAAAGGUUAGCACUCCUAGUGAUAAGGAUGGAAGAGGCUCUUGUCCUGACAACAUGCAUACGGUUAAGGCAUUGCCACCUACUUCAUGGCAUCUAAUCAACAUUUUUG